UACAGAGGGUGCGAGCGUUGUCCGGAAUCACUGGGCGUAAAGGGCGUGUAGGUGGCCCGAUAAGUAGGGGGUGAAAUCUCGAGGCUCAACUUCGAGGCUGCCUCCUAAACUGUCGGGCUUGAGCAGAGUAGAGGCAGGUGGAAUUCCCGGUGUAGCGGUGGAAUGCGUAGAGAUCGGGAAGAACAUCGGUGGCGAAGGCGGCCUGCUGGGCUCUUGCUGACACUGAGGCGCGACAGCGUGGGGAGCAAACAGG
rnacentral:rRNA from 1 species